rnacentral:rRNA from 1 species
UACGGGGGGGGUAAGCGUUGUUCGGAAUUACUGGGCGUAAAGGGCUCGUAGGCGGCCAACUAAGUCAUACGUGAAAUCCCUCACCUUAACUGGGGAACUGCGUGUGAUACUGGAUGGCUUGGAUUUGGGAGAGGGAUGCGGAAUUCCAGGUGUAGCGGUGAAAUGCGUAGAUAUCUGGAGGAACACCGGUGGCGAAGGCGGCAUCCUGGACCAAUAUUGACGCUGAGGAGCGAAAGCCAGGGGAGCAAACGGG